CCAACUUUCCCGAUACUCUCGGAUAGCCUUCCGAAAGGGAGAUUAAUACGAGAUGGUGUUGAAAUUCCGCAUGUUAUUUCAACUAAAGAUUCAUCGGUAACGGAUGGGGAUGCGUGACAUUAGGUAGAUGGCGGGGUAACGGCCCACCAUGCCCACGAUGUCUAGGGGUUCUGAGAGGAAGGUCCCCCACACUGGAACUGAGACACGGUCCAGACUCCUACGGGAGGCAGCAGUGAGGAAUAUUGGUCAAUGGCCGGAAGGCUGAACCAGCCAAGUAGCGUGAAGGAUGAAGGUUCUAUGGAUUGUAAACUUCUUUUAUACGGGAAUAAAACCACCUACGUGUAGGUGCUUGUAUGUACCGUAUGAAUAAGCAUCGGCUAACUCCGUGCCAGCAGCCGCGGUAAUACGGAGGAUGCGAGCGUUAUCCGGAUUUAUUGGGUUUAAAGGGAGCGUAGACGGGAUGUUAAGUCAGUUGUGAAAGGCUGCGGCUCAACCGCAGCACUGCAGUUGAUACUGGCGUCCUUGAGUCCGUUUGAGGUAUGUGGAAUUCGUGGUGUAGCGGUGAAAUGCUUAGAUAUCACGAAGAACUCCGAUUG
rnacentral:rRNA from 1 species